GUAAAUUAGUUCGAACGAACCAACUGAAGCCUACCGGGAAACUCUUUCGUUUUGGCUUACGUCUUUCGAAUCCAUAGAAUUGACCGACGUGAAUGGAAUGAACGAACCUAACGUUAAGUGUGCAUCACACUUCACAUCCUACGCUGGGACAUAAAACCGGUAAAUUAAUAAUUUACUUAAAACUGAGUUAGAUAUACUUAAAUAAUUAGUUUUACGUACUUAUAACGUACAAUGAUACUAAAAACCUUCGUAGAAUAAGUUUUAAUACCAAUUUAACAUUUUUUGCUGUUUGUCGAAUAUAAUUUUAAUAGAUUAAGCAGUAGUGUCAAGACUGUCAAUGUCAAAUUCAUUGUUUACUGUCUCAUGGCUGUCUUGAUGUCGCCGAUGUUUGUCUGUUGUACCACAUAUUUUAAUAUUAUAAAAUUUGUAUUUACAUUGAAAAGUUCCAGACUAGUGGGAAUCACAAUGGACCUACAGUGAGCACCCUGGCAAGGAAUAUGUUCAAGCUUAUAGCUUCCAGCUAUUGCUGGAAAAUGGAAAUUUCUAUAAUGAUAUGGAGGCCAACAAAGACUCCAGAGCAUGUCUGGCAGCGCCUCAUAGGGCUAUCCUGCCCUCGACUCCCAGUCUACCAGCCGCGCCGGUCCGUCGCCUAAUCACAACUCCAACCCGGUCAACCGCAACAGGAGCCACAAGAAUGUGAGGUGGUGCUGGAGAUGAAGGUGAUCGAAGCCAACUUAUACACCCGCGAACUGAUGCGGUGGAAAAAACUUUGGUCUUUUUUUAACAUUAAUUUUAUAACUUUAUUUGCUUAGACUGAUUUGAAAUAUUCUUUAUUGAAAGUGUAUAAUGUAUAUAGAGAUUUGUCCGAUUUUUGUUAAAAUAAAAAUAAUAAAAUUAUACGCAAAGUAUAUUUUAUUGAAUUUAGCUAUUUUUAUCAGUACACGGAAGCGUCGCGACUAUAUCUCGCAGAUCGUCGGGCAGUGGUCG